CGGGGUGUAGCGCAGUUGGUUAGCGCACACGUCUGGGGGGCGCGAGGUCGCUGGUUCGAGUCCAGUCACCCCGA
rnacentral:tRNA from 1 species